CUUCUAAAUUUAUAAUAGAAUUUUAUUUUUUAGUCAAAAAGCUAAAAUUUAUUUAAAAGACGAGAAGACCCUAUAAAUCUUUAUAUUUAUAUUAUUAUAAUUUUUCAGAUUUUUUUUAUUAUAAUAAUAGAUUAUAUUUUAUUGGGGUGAUAUUAAAAUUUAAUAAACUUUUAAUUGUUUAAAUCAUUAAUUUAUGAAUAAUUGAUCCGUUAUUAGCGAUUAAAAAAACAAGUUACCUUAGGGAUAACAG
rnacentral:rRNA from 1 species